rnacentral:rRNA from 1 species
GAUGAACGCUGGCGGCGUGCCUAAUACAUGCAAGUCGAGCGAACAGACGAGGAGCUUGCUCCUCUGACGUUAGCGGCGGACGGGUGAGUAACACGUGGAUAACCUACCUAUAAGACUGGGAUAACUUCGGGAAACCGGAGCUAAUACCGGAUAAUAUAUUGAACCGCAUGGUUCAAUAGUGAAAGACGGUUUUGCUGUCACUUAUAGAUGGAUCCGCGCCGCAUUAGCUAGUUGGUAAGGUAACGGCCUACCAAGGCAACGAUGCGUAGCCGGCCUGAGAGGGUGAUCGGCCACACAGGAACUGACACACGGUCCAGACUCCUACGUGAGGCAGCAGUAGGGAAUCUUCCGCAAUGGGCGAAAGCCUGACGGAGCAACGCCGCGUGAGUGAUGAAGGUCUUCGGAUCGUAAAACUCUGUUAUUAGGGAAGAACAAAUGUGUAAGUAACUAUGCACGUCUUGACGGUACCUAAUCAGAAAGCCACGGCUAACUACGU